UCAGCCGAUCCGCUGCCUCCAGCCGCGAGACUUUCCACAACCGCUGUCACUUCAGCCGCGCCGCGAGAUAACACAGAUAACCUCCAACAAGGAAUUGCCGUCAACUUGAACUGCUCUACGCGGAGUUGUAUAGAGUAAAUUUAAUCAGAUAAAAUUAAUAAUAUAAAUAAACUGUAGGAAAAUUUUUGUGAUGUGCCAGUUGAAAAUUAAAACAUAAACGACUUUGAUGUGAAAAGUAUUUUUUUGUGUUAGUGUGUGUGAAUUGGCAAAGGACUUUCGGAAGCUUGCUUACGAGUUCACGGCUCGUUAAUUCGGCAGACGAGGAAACUGAAAAAAGAGGUCCUCACUUACGCCCGCCCACUGGAGUGAUAAAAUUUAUGACAAACGAUACACGAAUGUUUCUCUCCGUUCAGACUACAGCCUUGCAGCCAUGAUUUGGUGGCCGCGAGCGCGUGAGAAGUGUAGCAGGCGAUGAAGGUGCGAGGCGGUGCGGGGCCGGGGCGGUGCGCCUCGCCCGCGCUCCUCGAGUGCGGGGGCGG